CUAGUUCUUACACCCCUGUGCUGGGGGCUGGGAAAAGAUUUAGAGAAGAGUUCCCUGUCUGGGAGGGAUGGGACACACAUUCAGGGUACAGACUGAUGCAGAGAUGAAGAGAUAGGAACAAAUGAAACAGGAGGAGCAAGGACAGCAGGGCUGGAGAGGAGGAGCCCGGAGCAGUCAGAGCUAGGACGGGGGGAAAGGGAAAGGCCCUGGAGAGGUAUCUGAAAAUGAAUUGGCUGAAGCCAUUCCUUCCUCACUGGGCAGCACCGUCCAAAGGCCAAGAGGUGAAUGGCUUGCCCGGGGAUUCCGGGUGUAGGAGUAGAGUCAAUGCCAGUGGCCAGGGCUCCUGACCUCUGGCCCAGGACUCUUGCCCCUAAACCUUACGGUCACCAGAAACACCAGCUCAAACUGUGGAAUGAAUCCUCACCCCAAGAGCCUCCCUGGGGCGUGGGAUGGACCCAGAGGCUGUUGAGUCCUUCAGCACCUUCAGAAGGCAUGCCACAUCUUUUCCUGCAGUGGGUGCUGUACUGUAGAUGUGGGAAUCUGCGCUCUUCCUGCAGUGGGUGCUAUACUGUAGAUGUGGGAAUCUGCACUGUUCCUGCAGUGGGUGCUGUGCUGUAGAUGUGGGAAUCUGCACUGUUCCUGCAGUGGGUGCAGAUUCAGUUCAGCACCUUCUGAAGGCAUGCCUUCCUAGCAGCCUUUCAGUGGCUCUGGAGAUGACAGAUGUAAGACUUUUGUGACCGUCACCCUGUGCCUCUAGCUCUGACUGUCCACUUUCCUCUCAUCCCAGGCCUAAAAUGAUUGGAAACUCUGAGGUCACAGUGUCCAUCCUCACCUUCAGGCUCAAGAGUUGUGACACAGCUCAGGCACACAGAAGGCGGUUCUACUGUUAAAGCCUCAUCAGGAAGGGCAUUUCUCUGCCUCUCUGGUCAUUCCUUUCAGUAUUGCUUUGGAAGUUCCUCUUAUAGUCUGACCUCAGGCAACCUUGGUGAUUGGUGAUUUUGUCAGAUAAUAUUCAGAGAAAGAUGAUAUAUUUUAAGAAAGACAAGGAAGCAGAAAUGUUUAGUGCAGAAUCUGAUCUAACUGGCUUUCAAAGGCUGGUGGUCGUGGAAUGUGAGGGAGGCCACUGGAUAAACUGAGGCCUCCUCAAUGUCAGUCUCCUCCUGGUUCCCUUGGACCAGAACAAGACCAGACCCCAGAUCUGCAGUGGGUCCUCUCACGGCCCUGGGCCACUGCCCCCUUACCUUGUUGAUGAAAGAUGCGAAACGGUUGUUGAGGCACUUGAUCUGCUCCUUCUCAUCCCUCUUUACCCUCUGCACAGUCGGGUCUAUCUCCAGUGCCAGUGGGACCAGCAGGCUCUCAUUGAUGGUGACAGGGGUGAUGCAGGCAGAAGGCCCACAGGUGGCUCCCAGUCGGUACCCGAAGCCAGGCAGGGUACCUCCACACCUGGAGGCUACCCGGGGCCUCCCAAAGCCCACGUUGCACAGGCUCCGUGAGCCAAGGCAGCCCAGAGCUCGGAGGCCCCUACCACCCCCGGGCCGGCAUGGCCCCUUGCUCACUGCAUAGUGGGUGACCAUCCGGGGCAUGACAGCCGAGUAUGAGCUGAAACUCUGACUGCCACACCUGGAGCCUGGCUGGAAAGAGUGGUACGACAUGGCAGGAGAGAGAGGCAGAGAAAUGCGGCCCUGGAGGAAAGAACCGGGGCAGGAUGAUCAAGUCAGGCUCAGCUUCCCCCCUUUUAUCUGGUAGGGGGAUGGAGGACUGAGAUGUGUCAAACCCCAAAUCACCAUUAAACUAGGUUUAUGAGCUUGGGAUAUUGGCAGAGCUAAGUAGCAAGGUGGAUAAUUAGGGUAGCGAAGAGCAAAGAGAAGGGGCCAAUGGUCAGUGCUGGUGGGCCCUAUAAAAAUCCUAUUUGUCCUCCUUCCUUGAUUGUGGGGGUGAUGAAAGGGGCCAACCAGACAGAUAUGUUCCAUGUAUCCAGUGGCUCAGCCUCAAGGAAAGGGAGAGUUGGGACUACGUCAUUUCAUAGGAGGGGAGGCGUGCCAUGAAUUAUACACCCUGGCUUCUCUGGGAUUAGAGGGCAAGUCCCAUAUGCUUAAAGAUGCUCUGGCUCUUUCCCCAAGGCUGCUCCUAGGCUUUUUUGCAGAUCCUCAACCCAAGUGCCCUCUGUGGGCUCCUAGGUGAGUCAGGAAGUUCCCAGGAGGAAGGCUUUUGGGGUGGGAGAAUCCUCCCUACAACAGGCCGGACCUUAACCCUCCUGAGCUCUGGCUCAGUGACCCACUGUCCCAUGAGGGUCUUGAAGGUAGACAGACUCCAGGCAUAGACACUUUUCUACAGGGCCCAUCAGUCCACAAAGGCUGCAGGGAACUCAAGAGGAGAGGCCUGGUGCUUGAGAAGGGCAGAGGAAGGGACGCUCUCCUCAACACUUCUGGGGCCCCCAGAAGGCAUGAUUUCAGCAUCAGGUCUCGGCUUCCAUGUGGCUGUUCCUUUCCCCUUUUGCCCAACCCAGCCUGAGUGUCCCUGAGGUCAACAGAGCCAGCUUUGGCCUGAGGAUGUCUCUGGGGAGAGUUGUUGCCCUUGGGAAUUUUCAGGUGGAGGUGGGAUUCAGGUUUUCUUUCCAGCUCAGGUCGCAGACACAGCUCUUUGGAGAUGUCUGAAGCCCCCGCCUCACUCUCUUUCCUCCUCUUUUCCAUCAAUUUCAUCAGUGAAACUUUUGCCAUGGCCGAAUGGCCUUUCCCUUCCACACUGAGACUUAUCACCAGGUCAAAAUCAAACCAAUAAUAAUAAUAAUAACAAUAAUAAACAUUUAUUGGGCAUUUAUUGUGUGUUGGGACCACUCCGUACUCUUUACAUCCAUGGUCUCAUUUAAUUCUCUGACCACACAAUGAGAUAGUUACUAUGCCACAGACAGGAAAAUGGGAAGCACAGCAGUUAAGAGCAACAUCCCCAAGUCACACAGCUUGUGGCUGAUCAGCUGGGAGUCCAUCCUGUUCCUUUUGACUUCACCCUGCCAUGCUGCUCCACAGCAGGGAAGCCCAGGUGAGGAAUUGGGAAUCUGCUGCCCAUAAAUGUUCUGUUGUCCCUGUCCGUCAGCCUUCCAACCUGUGGAUUAGGAGACUGGAACUCAAAGGUUUCCUGAGCCUCAGAAAUUCUCAGUCUCAUUGUGACAUUUCACACUCCCUGUCCCCUUUUUCAUAGUCCUGACUGUGGGCCCCAGAGUAGUGGAGGAGGAGGGGUGCAAGGCGAGACCACAGGCCACAAUGGGAGGCAGAAGGUUGGGUGAGGGGGUCCAAUUGCAGGGUGUCAGGGGAAGAAGACCACACUCUUCCCUGGACUGAGUCCACAGAGGGGGCCCAGGAUGGUGUGAAUGUUGAUGGAGACACUCAGAGGCCCCACCAGAGAGCAGAUUCCCACUAGAGGGGGUGAGGGAGACAGUGAGCUGCACCGGAGGGCAGGGGUCACUGCAGCAGUGGACACAGCAGAGUCUCCCCGCCAUGUCCAGGCCAGAGGAGGGCCUCAGUGAGCAUGUUGGGCUCCUGGAGUCCAGAACCAGAGCUCAGGAGCAGAGGGCAGGGCGGUUCCUUGGAUUCAUUGUGGGAGGGAGGCACCUGUUUCCUGAGCCCCCCGAGUCCAGGGUUGCCCUCUGAGUGUGAGCUAGGGCAGGACUCAGUCAAGACCUAGACAGUUUGGCGGCAUUUUAUGAAAGUGGGUUCAGGAACUAGGGGGCAUAAGGGAGCAGGCAGUUGAGAAGGGUGUGAUUUUCUUCUGGAGCAGUGAACUCCGUCUUCACUUUGGCAGUGCAGUAGACAAUCUCUACCUGCCUUUGGAAUGCGUUUUGGCAGGUGUCUUGGGGGUUGAUGACUCUUCAAAUUAAAUACA
rnacentral:lncRNA from 1 species